rnacentral:rRNA from 1 species
GAUGAACGCUGACAGAAUGCUUAACACAUGCAAGUCGAUUGGGAAGUGGUGCUUGCACCAUGGCAACCAUGGCGGACGGGUGAGUAACGCGUAAGGGACUUACCUGCAGGACUGGGAUAACAGGGGGAACCUCCUGACAAGACCGGAUAAUGUCAUGGAGCUGCAUGGCUUUAUGAUGAAAGGAGACGCCUGCGGAGAGCCUUGCGUCCUAUUAGCUAGUUGGUGAGGUAAUGGCUCACCAAGGCGAAGAUAGUUAGCCGGCCUGAGAGGGUGGACGGCCACAAGGGGACUGAGAUACGGCCCUUACUCCUACGGGAGGCAGCAGUGGGGAAUAUUGGACAAUGGGGGCAACCCUGAUCCAGCAAUUCUGUGUGCACGAAGAAGGUUUUCGGAUUGUAAAGUGCUUUCAGCAGGGAAGAAGUAAGUGACGGUACCUGCAGAAGAAGCGACGGCUAAAUACGUG